AAGAGUAAAGUACUUCCGCUUCCUUAGGUGGAGCUGGAAAGGUGGAGGCGGAAGUGACUGAUCAAUUCAGGGGCGUGGGGUUCGUUUAGGUUUUGCCCUGUGUAUGACCUCGUUUGGAGCCAUGAAACCAGGUGGCUUUUCUACAAUAUAAAGAUGGAAAUGGGAAGAAGAUGUUCAUUGCAAAUUAAGAUAAAUAUCAAGGAGUGCAAUUCCUGGAUUUAUGAUGUCUGAGGAAUAGUCUUAGUGGAUUAUCCCAAACUUGACACAUUUUUUGCAAAAUGCUAUACAAAAAGAAGAUACAUGCGAUUAUGACAAGAUUCUCCACUUGGUGUGACCAGUCUCAUACAACCCAAGGCUGUGUGUCCAAAGGCAACUGUACUGCACAUGACAGAAUUGCUCUGUUGAAGUUUUGCAAGGUCAAAUGACUCACUUUGUCUAAUGGAACGGGAACGAACAAUUUUUUUGUGUCACGUUUGAACAGAUACCUUUGAGAAGUUUAUGAUUCUCCAAGUUCUCUUUCUCCUACUGUGGCACCUACUGACAAGAUAAAU
rnacentral:lncRNA from 10 species